ensembl:lncRNA
GGAUCGUUUCUUUCUCCAGUCAGAAAGAAGACAUGUUAUGGAAGGAAAAUCUCAAACAGGUGUUUGCAAAAGAACAACAUAAAAAUCUUCAUGUUCCAUAAACAAUAACAGAAUUUUGGUGAACUGUUCCUUUAAGAACUUUUCAGAACUCAAAACUAUUUGAAUGACUGACAGAGAAAUGAAUUGAACAAAGAAAAGCGAGUGUGGACAGAACUUAUCACACACCUGUCUCGAGUAAAACCAAACACAGUGUUGAAAUCUGGAGUGGCACUCAAUGGAUUGUCAACAGAUGCUGAUAAAUGAGUUUUCAGAUAACAGACACUCUUAUGAAUGUGUCUUUUUGGAGUUUGAAUGGGGUUUUAUCUCGUUGUUAGUUUUGGGUAUUAAACAAACAGCAAUUCGUUUGCGUCUUAUAUUACGUGCAAAAACUGUCGACUGAGUGUGUCGCUGUUUGUCAGUAAAAGGUAGGUCUUUUCUCACAGAUAUCAGCCUCUAGAUCGGAGUCGUUGUUUAAACCCUCUUACACUUUAAAUUAAAGUAUAAUAUUUCUAAGGUUUCUCGCGCCCUUCCGCCUUGUUGGGAAAGUGGGCCGCGGGGGAAGCUAAUGCACUGUGAAGGUCAAGCUUCACUGGCCGUCUCCAUUUUUAAAACCCAGCUUUUGGUUUCAUCGGCCUCCAGUAAGUUUGGGGUGACGGGAACAUUUGCACACAGAGACCUGGCCAGGUUUAGACCACCGAGAAGUAAUGCGAGAUUGUGUUGUGCUCCAAAGACCCAGUGGAGACACACGUGGAAACUUAACUCUUUCUAUGGGUAAGGGUCAAGGAAUCUAGUCUGCGGUUAAAUCUUUAAAAAAGUUAAGUCAUAAGAGCUUAGAUAAGACUUCUUUCUCUGACUAAAAUCGCUGAAAUAUGAUCCAUUCAUAAGGCCAUCUGAUAAUGUUUAACUGUGUGCAGCCGCAAACUAGGCCUACUUGCUUAGUUAUCUGUAAUGUUUGAUAUAUAUGUAUACACAUACACACAUAAAACCACACAGUUAUUUUAUUUUAUAUUAUAUAUUAUACAUAAAUGCAUACAUAGACCUACAUACAUUUAUUUGUUUAUUUAUUUAGGUU